rnacentral:rRNA from 1 species
AUACGUAGGGUGCGAGCGUUGUCCGGAAUUACUGGGCGUAAAGAGCUCGUAGGUGGUUUGUCGCGUCGUCUGUGAAAUUCCGGGGCUUAACUCCGGGCGUGCAGGCGAUACGGGCAUAACUUGAGUACUGUAGGGGAGACUGGAAUUCCUGGUGUAGCGGUGAAAUGCGCAGAUAUCAGGAGGAACACCGGUGGCGAAGGCGGGUCUCUGGGCAGUAACUGACGCUGAGGAGCGAAAGCAUGGGUAGCGAACAGGAUUAGAUACCCUGGUAGUCCAUGCCGUAAACGGUGGGCGCUAGGUGUAGGGGUCUUCCACGACUUCUGUGCCGUAGCUAACGCAUUAAGCGCCCCGCCUGGGUAGUACGGCCGCAAGGCUAAAACUUAAAGGAAUUGACGGGG